ACGAACGCUGGCGGCGUGCCUAACACAUGCAAGUCGAGCGGAGAUAUAUUGAAGGUUUACCGGAUAUAUAUCUUAGCGGCGGACGGGUGAGUAACGCGUGGGCAACCUGCCUUAUACAGGGGGAUAACACAGGGAAACUUGUGCUAAUACCGCAUAAUAUCAUUGUAUGGCAUCAUACGAUGAUCAAAGGAGCAAUCCGGUAUGAGAUGGGCCCGCGUCCGAUUAGCUAGUUGGUGGGGUAACAGCUCACCAAGGCGACGAUCGGUAGCCGAACUGAGAGGUUGAUCGGCCACAUUGGGACUGAGACACGGUCCAGACUCCUACGGGAGGCAGCAGUGGGGAAUAUUGCGCAAUGGGGGAAACCCUGACGCAGCAACGCCGCGUGAAAUGAAGACGUAUUUCGGUAUGUAAAGUUCUUUUAUUAAGGAAGAAUAUCACGGAUAGGAAAUGAUCUGUGAGUGACGGUACUUAAUGAAUAAGCCCCGGCUAACUAUGUGCCAGCCGCGGC
rnacentral:rRNA from 1 species